rnacentral:rRNA from 1 species
UACGUAGGGGGCAAGCGUUGUCCGGAUUUAUUGGGCGUAAAGAGCGUGUAGGCGGCCCGGAAGGUCUGGUGUGAAAACUUGGGGCUCAACCCUAAGCCUGCAUUGGAAACCGUCGGGCUUGAAUCUGGAAGAGGAGAGUGGAAUUCCCGGUGUAGCGGUGAAAUGCGCAGAUAUCGGGAGGAACACCAAUGGCGAAGGCAGCUCGCUGGGACGGUACUGACGCUGAGACGCGAAAGCGUGGGGAGCGAAUGGG